CCAGAAAACGAUGUCAGCUAGGUCUAUCAGCAAACAUAUGGCUUAGCUAUGCCAAGAAGUCCUCAAUAAUAAUAGUAUUUUCCAAGAAAUUACGACAAAUCGUUAACAACGUUUCGUUAGGUGCAGGUAUUUUACUGCUACCACAUGUGAACGCGUAAGUGAAUUUGAUGAGUUCAAAACUUUCGAUUACGUUGACAAAACGAUUCCAAAAAAUUAGACAUGUUAUACAUCGUUAGAAAGCAAAUACUCUCACCUAUUGAAUAAAUGGAUUGUCAUUGAAGUCAGACUGUACUGAAAAAGGGCGACAACGCCGGAAACAACACGUGUGGCUGGUAUUACACACAACUAUUGGAAGAUACCCAUGCAUCACAAAUGCGCCCUCUCUAAGCCGUUUGUCCGUUCUGGGCUACUGUAGUAGAAACAUGGCGGUGCAACAUGGUGGCGCUGUGGAAGAGGACCCGCUCCCUAUGUAGAUAAAAGGGCACAUUCUAAGCCUGAUGGGUCUCCAGCCUUGAUAUCAAGGACCCGCACACAUUCUGUUACCAGGUGGUGACUGGCCCACGCCAUUCAUGACACACUGUCUCUCCCUCUAGGACAUUUCUCAGAAUGAUAACACCCCAUCAUUUCAUGGCCUCCCAGCCUCCGAAUCAUGAAUUUGGAGCCCCAUCGCCGCGGCAGAAACUCCGCUUCAGCCAAGAAAUCCUUCCAAAGGCCCCGGCUGUGUGUAAGGCAGUGUGUGCAGCGUUGGGUCUUCCUCUGCAGAGAUCGCAUGAGGGGCCAGCGGGGGCUGAGCGCUCCCAUCGCUGUGCCAGAUCACCCAUCCCUGUGAUGACACACAGCCUCCAGAACCCUGAGGAGUAGAUGUGGACGCACAACACCGAGGAGAGAAUCAAUACUCUAGGAAGCUCUUGUUUCUGAAGGGCCUUUGAUUACUAUGAUUUUUUUUUUUUUUACAAAGAUUUGCAGAAUAUUUAAACGGCCUCACCAAGUGUUUGAAAGCAAAUGUUUUUGGAGUGUGUUUGACUAACCACUUAGAGAUCUUUAAGACCUGUAUUUCCACUUUGAGGUGAAAAAUAAAUUCUGUUGUUCAAACCACUUAUUUUUUAUACUUUUCAUGAGAUCAUUUUCAUGCAGUACAUCAAAACUGGUUGAGUUUUUACUCCCAAUAUGAGCUACUUACCAUUAUUCACAACCUAAUGCCAUCAAUCACAUGAACAGUAUUCACGUGUUACUAAUUUUAUUUUAGCAACAAUUUUACAUUAGCAGUUUACUGUACCACAGUGACAUUAGCAUCCAUCUCCUCACUCCCAUUGAUACCCAUACAUUUAGCUGGAAAGUGGAUGACCCAGUUUCUGUAAAAUACAGACUAGCACUAGGAAUGUGGUCAGCAGUAGAGAUGUGGGAACCAUUUCUGUUCUGUAGCCUGAGGGCACUCUUUUGAUGCAGGUGGUGCAGUGAUGUAAUUCCGCAACUGAUAUCUCCCACUGCCUCCAAGAGCCUGAGAAACAUUGCACUGAACCCAUUGCACUGGCCCACAUGUCUGGGGUGAUGGGUUUUAACGGCAUCCUUAUAGAGAAGGAAAUGAAAUAUACUACUUGCUUGUAAAAAAGAGAUAAAAAUCAAUAAUAAAUAUUAGCACACAUGAUGGGAACAGUGAAAUGCUGUGAGCUACACCUCUUUUGUUCUGUGCUUUAGAUAUUUGAGAUGCCUGUGUGACAGCGUUAGCAACAUGCUGACCUCACAUGUUUUAUUUCGGAACAUCCUGGUAUGGCUUCUGUAGUCGGAACAGAAGCUUCCGUACUUUUUGUCCAAUGCCAUAUGGAAAGCAUUCAUUCUCCAGUGAGAACUCA